GGCUUAGAAGCAGCCAUCAUUUAAAGAAAGCGUAAUAGCUCACUGGUCGAGUCGGCCUGCGCGGAAGAUGUAACGGGGCUAAACCAUGCACCGAAGCUGCGGCAGCGACACUCAGGUGUUGUUGGGUAGGGGAGCGUUCUGUAAGCCUGCGAAGGUGGCCUGUGAGGGUUGCUGGAGGUAUCAGAAGUGCGAAUGCUGACAUAAGUAACGAUAAAGCGGGUGAAAAGCCCGCUCGCCGGAAGACCAAGGGUUCCUGUCCAACGUUAAUCGGGGCAGGGUGAGUCGACCCCUAAGGCGAGGCCGAAAGGCGUAGUCGAUGGGAAACGGGUUAAUAUUCCCGUACUUGGUGUUACUGCGAAGGGGGGACGGAGAAGGCUAUGUUGGCCGGGCGACGGUUGUCCCGGUUUAAGCGUGUAGGUGUGUGUUCCAGGUAAAUCCGGUUCACUUUAACACUGAGGCGUGAUGACGAGGCACUACGGUGCUGAAGCAACAAAUGCCCUGCUUCCAGGAAAAGCCUCUAAGCAUCAGGUAACAUCAAAUCGUACCCCAAACCGACACAGGUGGUCAGGUAGAGAAUACCAAGGCGCUUGAGAGAACUCGGGUGAAGGAACUAGGCAAAAUGGUGCCGUAACUUCGGGAGAAGGCACGCUGACACGUAGGUGAAGUGAUUUACUCAUGGAGCUGAAGUCAGUCGAAGAUACCAGCUGGCUGCAACUGUUUAUUAAAAACACAGCACUGUGCAAACACGAAAGUGGACGUAUACGGUGUGACGCCUGCCCGGUGCCGGAAGGUUAAUUGAUGGGGUCAGCGCAAGCGAAGCUCCUGAUCGAAGCCCCGGUAAACGGCGGCCGUAACUAUAACGGUCCUAAGGUAGCGAAAUUCCUUGUCGGGUAAGUUCCGACCUGCACGAAUGGCGUAAUGAUGGCCAGGCUGUCUCCACCCGAGACUCAGUGAAAUUGAACUCGCUGUGAAGAUGCAGUGUACCCGCGGCAAGACGGAAAGACCCCGUGAACCUUUACUAUAGCUUGACACUGAACAUUGAGCCUUGAUGUGUAGGAUAGGUGGGAGGCUUUGAAGUGUGGACGCCAGUCUGCAUGGAGCCGGCCUUGAAAUACCACCCUUUAAUGUUUGAUGUUCUAACGUGGACCCGUGAUCCGGGUUGCGGACAGUGUCUGGUGGGUAGUUUGACUGGGGCGGUCUCCUCCUAAAGAGUAACGGAGGAGCACGAAGGUUGGCUAAUCCUGGUCGGACAUCAGGAGGUUAGUGCAAUGGCAUAAGCCAGCUUGACUGCGAGCGUGACGGCGCGAGCAGGUGCGAAAGCAGGUCAUAGUGAUCCGGUGGUUCUGAAUGGAAGGGCCAUCGCUCAACGGAUAAAAGGUACUCCGGGGAUAACAGGCUGAUACCGCCCAAGAGUUCAUAUCGACGGCGGUGUUUGGCACCUCGAUGUCGGCUCAUCACAUCCUGGGGCUGAAGUAGGUCCCAAGGGUAUGGCUGUUCGCCAUUUAAAGUGGUACGCGAGCUGGGUUUAGAACGUCGUGAGACAGUUCGGUCCCUAUCUGCCGUGGGCGCUGGAGAACUGAGGGGGGCUGCUCCUAGUACGAGAGGACCGGAGUGGACGCAUCACUGGUGUUCGGGUUGUCAUGCCAAUGGCACUGCCCGGUAGCUAAAUGCGGAAGAGAUAAGUGCUGAAAGCAUCUAAGCACGAAACUUGCCCCGAGAUGAGUUCUCCCUGAGACUUUAGGUCUCCUGAAGGAACGUUGAAGACGACGACGUUGAUAGGCCGGGUGUGUAAGCGCAGCGAUGCGUUGAGCUAACCGGUACUAAUGAACCGUGAGGCUUAACCUUACA
rnacentral:rRNA from 1 species